UGGUCAGCUCAGCUUUUUUGGCAAUAGCAAAAUAAAUUGGAGAUACCCAAAGCCUCUGACCAUAACCAAAGACCUGAAUCAUUUCUGCUGUAGCUGCUAAGGGGAAGGCCAGGGAGGCUGGGUGAAGCUGAGCAAAGGCAGUUGUUUAUUGGGGAAAAGGUGAGAGGGAAAUACACCCCGAAAUUGUGUCAGAGUUGUGGCCAGGGGACCAGAAUAUGGAUGUCUUUCUUUUCCCUUCUCUGGUUUAUACCUUUUCUGUGAUGUGGUUAUGGCACUUCUACUGGAAAAGGAAUUCUUUCCUCUCUUUUCUGCUAAGAAACCAAGUGCUCGGCUGUUUCCAGGGAAAGCGAGAAAACCAACGUUGAGCUCCCUUUCUGCAUGGCGCUCGAGAAAACAGACCAGUUCCUAAAACGAAGGCCUAGGUCCCAGCGCUCCUUGGCCAGUUAAUAGGAAUAUAAGAGGACAGCUCACAAAAUCCUCCAGUAUAAUAGCCGCCGUGGAUCAGACCCCCAGACCCGGGCAGAAGGCAUUAUUGUUGCCAUUUAUUAAUACUAAUAAUAAUGGGGUCAUGGGGGAGGGGGAGUCAGGGAGAAGUCACGUGACUCUCUCCACUCUCAGCGCUGUCUCCCAGAGCUGCUGAUGGGGUUCAGGGUGGUCCCAGUACCAGGACCUCUUUUCAAGUCAUUUGGAGAUUAUUUUCUGGGAAAGCUAAGGUGAGGGACAGCUACCAGGGCACAGCAGCAAAUUGUUUUCCAUGUGGGUGACGUUGUCUUUGUAAGUGGGAAGCAGACGUGUAGUCUGGUUUAGAUGGAGGGGGUACUGCCCUGGUGUGUGCUCAGUGGCAGAUCUGGAACCUUCUGUCCGCGGGUGGGCAUCUGAGCUUCCGUCACUUUGGGAGGGCAAAUUUCCAGACUGUCUCUGUGGUAUUUAAAAUGCUAUUGUCGGGAGGUCCCAUUGUGGCUCAGUGGUAACAAACCUGACUCCUAUCCGUGAGGUUGUGGGUUCGAUCCCUGGCCUCGCUCAGUGGGUUAAGGAUCCAGCACUGCCGUGAGCUGUGGUGUAGGUCACAGAUACGGCUUGGACCACAGCCACAGCAAUGCAGGAUCCGAGCCGUGUCCAUGACCUACACCACAGCUCAUGGCAAUGCCGGAUCCCUAACCUACUGAGCGAGGCCAGGAAUUGAACCUGUGUCCUCAUGGAUAGAUACUACUCAGGCUUGUUACCACUGAGCCCUGACAGGAACUCCAAAUAGCCAUUUAUUGAGGGUCAAGAAAAGCCCUUGUUUUCCUCAUUCCCGGUCUCCUCCGCUCUCCUGUUGGGCCUCAAGCCCGGGGCCCUCUGCUCCGAGGCACCUUCUGGAGGAAAUGACAGGCAGUUGUGCGGAAAGAAUGGAGCAGGGAAGCUCCAGCCACCUGCCGAGUCACACCUGCUCCCCCCACCUGCCCCCACAGGGUCCGGGGAGGGAAGUGCAGCCCAGAACAGAGUGGGAAAGCUGCUGGUGAGAGAGGUUUCUGCCUGGGCACAUUAUCUCAUUUAAUCUCCCUCGCCCUCUGUGGGGACGUGUCAUUGUCGUCAAGGGUGGCUCAGGUGUCAAGCAGUUUCAGUAAAAGGUUUCAGCUGCUCCCCAGCCAGGAAACCUUGCCUCUGCUGGGUGUGUGUGAGCAGUCCUGCCAGCUGCUCCACGUCCCCUCGCUCCUCUCUGGAGGAGGGGUCAUGAAGCAUCCUUAUGGAGGGGGACGUCGGGGAAAGGCCUGUCGCCUCCAUGGUCCCUCUGCCUUCCCCGAGGGGUGUGGCUGCGGCCUGGGCGGCAGGGGUCUGUUCUAGGUCUUCCUCCCUGGCCCCCACGCCUCUCUCAGAGCCUGAGGCAAGCCCUCUGUUGGAGAAGAGUUGAGAACUAACUCUAGGAACAGGCAUCCAUGGGUAGAUGAGCUGGGAGGAGGCGCUGGCCUGGUUCGAGCCCAGCUGAGUGUUGUCAGCGCUGAAGUAGCCAUGAGCUUCCUGGCGCUCUGUUCUGCUUCACGGUGACAAACACUAUGUCUUGAAACUUAAGAGAAAAAAGAAAAAAAA
rnacentral:lncRNA from 1 species